rnacentral:rRNA from 1 species
GGGGCCUACGGGAGGCAGCAGUGGGGAAUAUUGCACAAUGGGCGCAAGCCUGAUGCAGCAACGCCGCGUGAGGGACGAAGGCCUUCGGGUUGUAAACCUCUUUUAGCAGGGAAGAAGCGAAAGUGACGGUACCUGCAGAAAAAGCACCGGCUAACUACGUGCCAGCAGCCGCGGUAAUACGUAGGGUGCAAGCGUUGUCCGGAAUUAUUGGGCGUAAAGAGCUCGUAGGCGGUUUGUCGCGUCUGCUGUGAAAAUCCGAGGCUCAACCUCGGACCUGCAGUGGGUACGGGCAAACUAGAGUGCGGUAGGGGAGAUUGGAAUUCCUGGUGUAGCGGUGGAAUGCGCAGAUAUCAGGAGGAACACCAAUGGCGAAGGCAGAUCUCUGGGCCGUAACUGACGCUGAGGAGCGAAAGCGUGGGGAGCGAACAGGAUUAGAUACCCUGGUAGUCCAUGCCGUAAACGGUGGGCACUAGGUGUGGGUUCCAACUAACGGGAUCCGCGCCGUCGCUAACGCAUUAAGUGCCCCGCCUGGGGAGUACGGUCGCAAGGCUAAAACUCAAAGGAAUUGACGGGG